AGUGAACGCUGGCGGCGUGCUUAACACAUGCAAGUCGAACGAGAACGGGCUAUAGCUUGCUAUAGUUGUCAGCUAAGUGGCGCACGGGCGAGUAAUGUAUAGGUAAUAUGCCUCUUACUAAGGGAUAACAAAUGGAAACGUUUGCUAAUACCUUAUACUCCUUAUUAACAGAAGUUAAUAAGGGAAAGAUUUAUUGGUAAGAGAUUAGCCUGUAUUGUAUCAGUUAGUUGGUGGGGUAAUGGCUUACCAAGACUAUGACACAUAACUGGUUUGAGAGGAUGAUCAGUCACACUGGAACGGAGACACGGUCCAGACUCCUACGGGAGGCAGCAGUGGGGAAUAUUGCACAAUGGACGAAAGUCUGAUGCAGCAACGCCGCGUGGAGGAUGACACAUUUCGGUGCGUAAACUCCUUUUAUAUGAGAAGAUAAUGACGGUAUUAUAUGAAUAAGCACCGGCUAACUCCGUGCCAGCAGCCGCGGUAA
rnacentral:rRNA from 1 species